UAAAGUCUGGCCUGCCCACUGAUUUAUUUUAAAGGGCCGCGGUAUACUGACCGUGCGAAGGUAGCAUAAUCAUUAGUCUUUUAAUUGAAGGCUUGUAUGAAUGGUUGGACAAAAAGCAAGCUGUCUCAGUUGUAAUAAUUGAAUUUAACUUUUGAGUGAAAAGGCUUAAAUAAGUUAGGGGGACGAUAAGACCCUAUAAAGCUUGACAAUAAGCCGUUUAUAUUAUAAAUUGUUAGUAUAACUUGAUUUUAAAUGGUGUUUGUUGCGUUGGGGCGACGAGAAUAUAAAAGAUAACUGUUCUUAUAACAUUUAAUAACAGAAAUAGUUGGAAAAUUAAUUAUCCUUUCUUUAAGAUCAUAAGAUUAAGUUACUUUAGGGAUAACAGCGUAAUCUUCUUUGAGAGUCCAUAUCGACAGGAAGGGUUGCGACCUCGAUGUUGAAUUAAGGUAUCCUUAUAAUGCAGCAGUUAUAAAGGAAGGUCUGUUCGACCUUUAAAUCCUU
rnacentral:rRNA from 1 species